GCAGGACUGGGACUGAAUCCAGGAAUUAGGCCCUGUCAGAUUCCAAGGCUGCUUUUUCCGUUACACCAACACAGCCUCUAUUUCGAGGCCUGAAGUGGUUAAAAACAAAAAUAAGUAUUGCCUCAGUAUUCAUCCAAGUCCCUAUGUCCCGUUCGAGUCACAUUCACAGUGUUCGCGUAAACUGUAAAGCAGCAACCACCACAAACUGACAAGAGACUUAUUAAGACUGAGGCAAAGCUGAGAGUAAGUACACAGGACAGAGGUAAGUGAGGAAAUGAAUUUACAAACGGCUCUGUUGACUCUUGAGGAAAGCCCAAGGAACAACUCACCUUCAAGGGACUAGUCCCAUUUCUCCUUUAAAAGUAUGUUAAAAAUUCACAAGAGAGUAUCUUUGCUGUUCAGGAAAUAAAAAUCAAACAUCUGAUCGUUAACCAAUGACCUCGUUUCCCCAUCUAUGACGAUCUUGUUUUAAUACGUUACAGAGAACAGAAAAAUCACAAGUAUAACAUAGGCAUCCCACCAAGAUAAACAGGAAGACGAUCUUUGAGUUCUGGGAAAGCAACUAAAAUUCUGAGCCAUUUUCUAACUAUAGUAUUGGGACAUACACAAGUAGGUGUCGUUGGGAAAUAGCACCUGCUCUUUUCUGUACUGGGGGUUCUGCCAGAAGUACACAUAAGCUGUGUGCUUCCCCACGUACGUGGAGCCAGCUUUGCUGUCUACUAAGGUUUCUUUAGAAAAUAAGAUAUUUCAAAGACUUUUUAUGUAUUCUAGAAAAUCUGUCACCCAACUUUAUCAGCUUAUGGUUUAAAACUUAUCGAUCUAGGGGCGCCUGGGUGGCACAGCGGUUAAGCGUCUGCCUUCAGCUCAGGG
rnacentral:lncRNA from 1 species